GAUAAACGCUGACAGAAUGCUUAACACAUGCAAGUCAACUUGAAUUUGGGUUUUUAACUUAGAUUUGGGUGGCGGACGGGUGAGUAACGCGUAAAGAACUUGCCUCACAGCUAGGGACAACAUUUAGAAAUGAAUGCUAAUACCUGAUAUUAUGAUUUUAAGGCAUCUUAGAAUUAUGAAAGCUAUAAGCACUGUGAGAGAGCUUUGCGUCCCAUUAGCUAGUUGGAGAGGUAACAGCUCACCAAGGCGAUGAUGGGUAGCCGGCCUGAGGGGGUGAACGGCCACAAGGGGACUGAGACACGGCCCUUACUCCUACGGGAGGCAGCAGUGGGGAAUAUUGGACAAUGGACCGAAAGUCUGAUCCAGCAAUUCUGUGUGCACGAUGAAGUUUUUCGGAAUGUAAAGUGCUUUCAGUUGGGAAGAAAGAAAUGACGGUACCAACAGAAGAAGUGACGGCUAAAUACGUGCCAGCAGCCGCGGUAAUACGUAUGUCACGAGCGUUAUCCGGAUUUAUUGGGCGUAAAGCGCGUCUAGGUGGUUAUGUAAGUCUGAUGUGAAAAUGCAGGGCUCAACUCUGUAUUGCGUUGGAAACUGUAUAACUAGAGUACUGGAGAGGUAAGCGGAACUACAAGUGUAGAGGUGAAAUUCGUAGAUAUUUGUAGGAAUGCCGAUGGGGAAGCCAGCUUACUGGACAGAUACUGACGCUAAAGCGCGAAAGCGUGGGUAGCAAACAGG
rnacentral:rRNA from 1 species